UAGGGAAUAUUGGACAAUGGGGGCAACCCUGAUCCAGCGACGCCGCGUGAGCGAUGAAGGCCUUCGGGUCGUAAAGCUCUGUUGUAAGGGAAAAAGUUCUGAUUGUACCUUACGAGAAAGGAUCGGCUAACUUCGUGCCAGCAGCCGCGGUAAGACGAGGGAUCCUAGCGUUGUUCGGAAUUAUUGGGCGUAAAGCGGGUGCAGGUGGCCUUGUAAGUCGAGUGUGAAAGCCUGGGGCUUAACCCCAGAAGUGCAUUCGAUACUGCGAGGCUUGAGUGUUGGAGAGGCUAUUAGAAUUCCUGGUGUAGUGGUGAAAUACGUAGAUAUCAGGAGGAAUACCGGAGGCGAAGGCGGAUAGCUGGCCAAACACUGACGCUCAGACCCGAAAGCGUGGGGAUCA
rnacentral:rRNA from 1 species